GGUCCUCAGCCUGAGGAAGAGGAAACUGUGGGAGCCCAGCCUGGAGGAUCAGCGCCUUCCGAGUUCCGAACUCUACGCGGCGAGAUCAGGAUCCACGGUGCGGACGCGGCCCUGGUGUCCCUCCCUGGCCACUGUCCAGGGGUCCGCGGGGGGCCUUGGGGACCUUGCGGACCUCUCAGGGAGACUUCUUCCUAAAAAGCAGGAGUCAGAAGGAGGUAUACAUCAGGGAAAACCUGAAGACGUGCCUUUCGUGUACUUCACCAAAAGAAUGUUCUAGAUGGACAAGUGGUACAAGGACCAGGCUGAAAGUCUCCUGGCAAAGCCGCAGAAAAAGACGAAGCCAACCUUGGGCACUGCCUCACCCCCUCCUAUCUGGGACACGCCCUCCUAUCAUCUGCUUUCCCCCAGGUUAUCAGCCAGCAUUCAUGCCCCUGGACCCACAGGGACCACCGUGCCAAAGAAAAGGUCUGCCCUGCCGAGAACCAAGUCCUUCAGACCAAGGCUGCAAACAGCCUCAGCCUCCUGUCAGUUAGUUCUCUGAACAGCUCUGCUGUGGGCAAGGUUGCAAGCCAACCAUCUGCAAUCCGAUGUGUCUUAGAUGUGCCAACUUGAGUGGCCACUUUCAAUCAGAGUAACCAAGAGUGUUGCCAUUUGGAUUUCAGAACUCAAGUUCCCACAAAGCAAGACUCCAUUCAUUCAUUUGCAAUAAGAGAGCCUCCUCGUUUAUAAUUUAUGUUUCAACCUGAGGAUUAUAGAGGAUCCAACAAGCCUCAAUUAAUUAAACUAUAGUUCCCUUUGGAAAGGCAAGUAUCUCUCUGACCAAAUGGAGCAGAGCUAAGACCACAUGGGAUGGUAGAUUAGUUCCAAAUCGGAAUUCAGAUGAUUUUUAUUGGCAGAUCCAAACCAACACAGCCUGACAUCUGAUUUGGACUCUAAUUCCCAACAGGCAACUUCUGAAAACCGAGUAGCUGUGAGGAUGGGAUAGAGAGGAAAUCCCAAUUUGAAUGCCAGGCACUCAUACAACACUUUAAGAUAUUAAUAAUGCCUCCCCCGAGUACCACCUUAGUGCCCUCACCGUGUGUAAACUAUCAGUGGGUAAGCUUCAUUACACAGCUACCACCUACUCAGCAAAAUGCUGUGUGCAUAAGAGGAAUGUCGAGAAAUAUUCUCUGAAAUAAGGGAAAGGGAAAUAUUCAGAGGUGCUUCAUAUCUAUCUGAUACCUCACUAAUGUGAGAUGAGUGUUAUUAUCCAGAUUUUAGAAAUAAAGUGAUACUCUGAGA